UGGUAGNAAACAGAUUAGAUNCCUUGUAGNCACNCGUAAACGAUGUCUACUAGUCGUUGGGUCCUUGAGACUUAGUGACGCAGCUAACGCAUAAGUAGACCGCUUGGGAAGUACGGCCGCAAGUUAAAACUCAAAUGAAUUGACGGGGGCCCGCACAAGCGGUGGAGCAUGUGUUUAAUUCGAUGCAACGCGAAGAACCUUUACUGGUCUUGACAUAUCUAGAAUCCUGCAGAGAUGCGGGAGUGCUUUCGGGAAUUAGAAUACAGGUGCUGCAUGGCUGUCGUCAGCUCGUGUCGUGAGAUGUUGGGUUAAGUCCCGCAACGAGCGCAACCCUUGUCCUUAGUUACCAGCGGGUUAAGCCGGGAACUCUAAGGAUACUGCCAGUGACAAACUGGAGGAAGGCGGGGACGACGUCAAGUCAUCAUGGCCCUUACGACCAGGGCUACACACGUGCUACAAUGGUAGGUACAGAGGGCAGCUACACAGCGAUGUGAUGCGAAUCUCAAAAAGCCUAUCGUAGUCCAGAUUGGAGUCUGCAACUCGACUCCAUGAAGUAGGAAUCGCUAGUAAUCGCGGAUCAGAAUGCCGCGGUGAAUACGUUCCUCGGGCCUUGUACACACCCCCCGUCACACCACGGGAGUCCUCUACCGUUAGAUCGAUACUCAGACAGUCGUAACAAGGUACCCAC
rnacentral:rRNA from 1 species